GUGGGAAAGAGGAAAGCUGAGGCUGCUCCUGUGGAAAGAGGUGCAAUGGGAGAGGGGGGCAGGAGGUCCCUUUUGAGGCAGGAGUGUGCCUGAGGUCUGGGACGAGGGGUUGGCUGACAUGACCAAAAAUGAAAAUGAUAAAUAUUGGAGGAGAUGCAGGAAGUUUGGGACACUAAUACACUAUUGGUGGAACUGCGAACUGAUACAACCAUUCCAGAGAGCGUAUGGAACCAAGCUCAAAGGGCCAGGAAACUAUGAUUAUCCUUUGACUCAGCAACACCACUACUAGCUUAGAGGGAUCUGGGAUUUCGCCUUCGUCCUUCUAGGGAGAGGAAGAGAAGACCCUCCAUCUCUCAGCCCUGGGCACUUUCUCGGACUGUCCCUCACGCUUGGAAUUCUCUCCCUCUGCCUUCCCUGCCUCCUGCCUCCUCUGGCUUUUUAGAAGUCCCAACCAAAAUCUCUUCUUGCACAGAAAGCCUUUCCCAUCCCCUCUUAAUUUUAGUGCCUUCCCAUUUACGCUGUCUAUAGCUUGUUUGUAUGUGCUUUUUGGGCUUAUUGUUCCUCCAUUAGACUGUGAGCAUCCUGAGGGCAAGGCCCCUCUUUUGCCUCUCUCUGGAUCCCUGAAGCUUGGCACACAGUCUAGCAUACUAAGAGGUCACUUCGGAAAUGCUUGUCAGCUGACUGACUACACACACGAGUCUGGGAGUGGAUAUCAAGUCCGUGGCUCUCUCUUCUACUUCCUUCUUCUCUCCCUGACCUGGGUCACUGGUCAGCCAUUGCUUUGGUCUUGGUGGCUGCAGCUUGAGCUGAACUGAUCGGUCUGCAGGUGAUUGCCGCUGCGCCACCCCUCUUGGAGGUAAGGAUGAUGGCACGCCUGCCUAGCCAGACAAUAUAGUCCUUGAGUGAGUUUCUGCCUGGCCAGUUCGGAUUUAGGUGGACGUGGCAUCUGCUCCACAUUUCCCACAGUCCCCUUUCCCUUCCUGGAGAGCAUCAUAGACAUAAUGGACUUCCACGAGUCCUUUAUGGGUUUUCUGUAUCUGUUUACUGGCAUCCAGGAGUCUUUUGUUGUGGAUUAUUGUUUUAUGUUUUCAGUAUUCAUUGAAUGGGUACAUAAGUGUUUUGUUUUAAGCAUUUCCUCUAUGUGUGUGUGUGUGCGUUGGAGGGAAAAUGCCUAGUCUCUGUCUCCUUGCUAUUCGUAAAGUGACUGAGUAACUUUCCCAGAGGGGGCCUCGCUGCUCUUUAGGGGGAUACAAGGCUCAUGAGCCCUACUUUCAGUUCUGUUUGAGAUCUCUUUCUUGGGUCUCCAUGCAGGUGAGCCAGAGCGCCUGGGAAAAGUCGAAUCUGCUCCUUUUUCCUACGAUUGAAACCAGUUCAUGUGAGUGAUGAACUGAUGCCCUUCAUGGGAAAAGAGUUCUGCUGUGGGGGGUGUGUG